rnacentral:rRNA from 1 species
UACGAAGGGGCUAGCGUUGUUCGGAAUUACUGGGCGUAAAGCGCGCGCAGGCGGUCCUUCAAGUCAGAGGUGAAAGCCCAGAGCUCAACUCUGGAAUGGCCUUUGAGACUAGAGGACUUGGGUACGGGAGAGGUGAGUGGGAAUUCCGAGUGUAGAGGUGAAAUUCGUAGAUAUUCGGAAGAACACCAGUGGCGAAGGCGGCUC